GUGCUCAAUUCAGCAGCACAUAUGCUAAAAUUGGAACAAUAUAGAGAUUAUCAUGGCCCCUGUACAAGGAUGACAUGUAAAUUUAUGAAGCAUUUUAUAAUUUU
ensembl:snRNA U6 U6 spliceosomal RNA